rnacentral:rRNA from 1 species
AUUGAACGCUGGCGGCAGGCCUAACACAUGCAAGUCGAACGGUAACAGGAAGAAGCUUGCUUCUUUGCUGACGAGUGGCGGACGUGUGAGUAAUGUCUGGGAAACUGCCUGAGGGAGGGGGAUAACUACUGGAAACGGUAGCUAAUACCGCAUAACGUCGCAAGACCAAAGAGGGGGACCUUCGGGCCUCUUGCCAUCGGAUGUGCCCAGAUGGGAUUAGCUAGUAGGUGGGGUAACGGCUCACCUAGGCGACGAUCCCUAGCUGGUCUGAGAGGAUGACCAGCCACACUGGAACUGAGACACGGUCCAGACUCCUACGGGAGGCAGCAGUGGGGAAUAUUGCACAAUGGGCGCAAGCCUGAUGCAGCCAUGCCGCGUGUAUGAAGAAGGCCUUCGGGUUGUAAAGUACUUUCAGCGGGGAGGAAGGGAGUAAAGUUAAUACCUUUGCUCAUUGACGUUACCCGCAGAAGAAGCACCGGCUAACUCCGUG